rnacentral:lncRNA from 1 species
UCCUGAGGUCAGGACUCUCUCCUUAUCCAGCAGUGGUGCAGAUGGAGUGGCAGCAGCAGCAACAUUCUCCCUGGAAGUGGGUUCAUUUUGUCACAUAGAAAUGUGUCGUCUUUCUUUCUGGGGCCUGCCAGGGGUCACCCCUGCUUGGUGCAGCACAUGAUCUCAUGCAUUUUCUGUAAAAGCUCUCUGCUAUCAUCAGCAUUAACAGCUGGGAGAUGCAAAGUGCUCUAGGUUUGCCACGAAGUGUAGUGCAAGUGUGGGAGCUGAUGAAUCUGUUCCCCAAGGGAGAGACUGUAGAGCUGCUCAUUUACCUUUGUUAGGCAGCAAACAGAUUGUCUGGGCACAGCCAUACCGUGGUGAAGAGUUGAAGGGCCCCAGCAGUGCCUGCUGACAGCUCCAGCUCAACAGGGGGGUGGAUCCAAACCAUGGAUCCAGAGCAGUGCUUGUGGUGCAAUCCCUGGGAUGCGCUCUUGACGCAUGGAAUGAACUCUGCCAUGCAAUGGCUUGCCAAGGUAUCUCCUGCAACUCAUUACCCAAAGGAGAGGUACCACAUACUUAUGUAUGUGGUCCUGUCUGAUCUGUAAGAUGCCACCGCAAUCAUUAUGACUUUUUUUUUUCUCUUGUUUUUUUUUGCUCAGAAUGUGUGAACGUGCUCAAUUCAAGGCUAAGCUUUCCAUUAAGUCACAUAAGUCCGACAAAGAGUCCGUGCAGAUCAGCUCCCAGUGGUGCUGGGUUGGUGAGUGCGGGUCUGGUAGCAGCGUGGUUGUCCUUGGAGCCCAUCUCGUGCUGCUCCCAUUGCCAUUCCUUGUGAAUGCUCUGCGUUUGCCAGAGGGCUGCAAAUGAGAGGGCUGCUGCGUGGUGUUUCAUCACAUCCACACAUCUUGGUGUCCCCACGGUGUGAGCUUGGCUGGUGUGGCCUUGGGGCUCCUCCUGAGGCAGCGCAGGUCUAAAAACACUGAUGAAAAGCUGAUUAAUCCUUGUAAGCGAGCAGCGAUAGCUUCUCUCCAGAACUGAAGAGAUUACCACUGAUUUGUCAUCCUGAUUGUUUCAAAGAGAGGUGCAAUUAGUUGCUCUAAUUUAGCUUCGCUGCUGCUCGCUGAGUGGCAUGACAACUGAGAUGUAAUCAGGAGCUCCGCACACAACGCAGCCACCGAUGGGUGCAGCUGUGCCUGCCACCAUUUCGCACACCAAGGGUGGGCCCAAAAUGGUGGAGCACUGUGUGCUCGUACCCCUCCAACUGCAUUGGGCCAAGUGUGUGUGCUCUACUCUGAGACCUGCAGGGCUUCCUAUGGAGUAGGCUCUAAGCCACGGGGUUGUGGCUGAGCGCCCUGGAGGAUGCUUUGCCUGGUGCAAUAAAAUUAAUACUAGCUAUAGGAGAAGGUGCGUG